rnacentral:rRNA from 1 species
CUGGCGGCAGGCCUAACACAUGCAAGUCGAGCGCGCCUUCGGGUGAGCGGCGGACGGGUUAGUAACGCGUGGGAACGUGCCCUUCUCUACGGAAUAGCCUCUGGAAACGGAGAGUAAUACCGUAUACGCCCUUUGGGGGAAAGAUUUAUCGGAGAAGGAUCGGCCCGCGUUAGAUUAGGUAGUUGGUGGGGUAACGGCCUACCAAGCCUACGAUCUAUAGCUGGUUUUAGAGGAUGAUCAGCAACACUGGGACUGAGACACGGCCCAGACUUCUACGGAAGGCAGCAGUAGGGAAUCUUGGACAAUGGGCGAAAGCCUGAUCCAGCCAUGCCGCGUGAGUGAUGAAGGCCCUAGGGUUGUAAAGCUCUUUCGCCAGGGAAGAUAAUGACGGUACCUGGUAAAGAAACCCCGGCUAA